rnacentral:misc_RNA from 1 species
GUAGGUGAACCUGCGGAAGGAUCAUUACCGAGUUCAUGCCCUUCGGGGUAGAUCUCCCACCCUUUGUAUACUAUACCUUUGUUGCUUUGGCGGGCCGCCUAGCUACUGGCUUCGGCUGGUAAGUGCCCGCCAGAGGACCCAAACCCAAACCCAUUUAUAGUGUCGUCUGAGAAAAAAGUUUAAUAUUUUAAAACUUUCAACAACGGAUCUCUUGGCUCUG